CUUUGAGCGCUUCCCACAGAUCAUCCACCCUCUGCCUACCUUCACCCUCCCCACCACUCCUCUCUGAGGGGAGAUCGCCUUGCUGCUGCGCAUAGGCUCACAGGGAACCAUGCCCACUCAGGCUAGCCCAUCCUCUGAGAAACACAGCCCUCAGGUCCGAAUACUUAGCUGGCCAUUAGCGAGCUAGUCGGCUGUUAGACUUGUCUGUGCCCUUCCAGAGAUCCUCACUGACUUCUGUCUACAUUGAUCACUUCAUGGAUUGGGGGGACCGGACCCGAGGCCUAGAGAAGUGAAGGGACCUGAGGCCACUAGCAGAAGAGCAUCGUUUGUCUUGUCCCCGCCCACCGGCAUUUUCCUGUGGAGUUCCAGCUAGCAAGCGGCAAGUCCACCGUGACUCCUGGCACCACUUACUCCUGUAGGCUGGAGGCCAGCCAGAAGGCUGUGAGGGGCCAGGUGGGGUCAGGCAUUUGAUUCUGCCUCCUCGUGCUGGGAUCUGCCUGUCCUACUCAGUCUGUCUGCAUGCCAACGUCCCGCCCUGGCCGUGGGUAGCAUGACCUCCACUCUGAUGCCCAUCACUCAAAGCCUUGCUCCCCUCCAUCCUGGCAUGCUGCUCUGGACGGCCAGCACCUCCAAAGGCCUCCCAAGGAGCAGACUUCACAGCUCUACUGUCUGAAACUGUAGGGAGCCGGCACAGGAAGCGGGGAGCAGGAUAAGAUGCUGCCUGGAUGCCUGAGGAGUGUGGCACCGCGGGAAGUACAUGUACAUGGCUCUGUGGGUCCACGGCUGUCCCUACAGGGAGAGUGUGGGUUGGGUGAGUGAGUGUGCGCGCUGCCACGCCAGAAAGAUCUGUAAGGCUCCAAGACUGCCAGCAGCCCUAGUCAGAGUGUGGCAGGGGAGGGGGGUGGGGGCUGCAAUUCCUCUUCCCAGGGCAUGCCCUCCAGCGCCUACCGGGACAUGCCAGGUGAGCCCCUGGCCUGCGGGCUCUCUGAUGAUGAGGACGACUUUCACCCGGGCCACUCCUCAGGGACCUCCCCAAUGUCCUCCAGCGUCCAGUCAGGGACGCCCAUCACCAACGAUCUCUUCAGCCAAGCCCUGCAGCAUGCCCUGCAGGCCUCAGGGCAGCCCAGCCUUCAGCAUGGCCCCUAAACACCAGUCUCCGCUUCCAUCCCACAUAAAGAAACCAAAACUGACUCCUGCCUCCAGGCCAGACAAAACGUCUCCUCUGAACUUGCUGAAGGAAGAGAAAGAACAGCAAGAAGCAACUGAACAUAUUGAUGGAGUACAAGAUGAAAUAGACAGACUUAGUGAACAAGCCAGUGAGGAGAUUUUGAAAGUCGAACAGAAAUAUAACAAAUUCCGCCAAUAAUUUUUUCAGAAGAAGUUGGAAUUGAUUGCCAAAAUCCCAAAUUUGGGGGUAACAACAUUUGUUAACCAUCCGCAAGCGUCUGCACUGCUUGGGAAGGAAGAUGAGGCGCUGCCUUAUUUGACAAGCGUUGAAGUGACGGAAUUUGAAGAUAUUAAAUCAGGUUACAGAAUAGAUUUUUAUCUUGAUGAAAAUAGAAUAUUAUUUUCACUUACUUUGAAAAUAAAGUUGUCUCCAAACACUUACAUCUACAUGAGAGUGGCGAUCUAUCUUCAAAGUCCACUGAAGUCAAAUGGAAAUCCAGAAAGGAUUUCACUAAGUGAUCAAGUCAAAUGCAGAAGAAAGCCAGCCGGAAGAGACAGCAUGAGGAACCAGAGAGCUUCUUCACCUGGUUUAUUGAUCAUUCUGAUGCAGGUGCAGAUGAGCUAGGAGAGGUCAUCAAAGAUGAUAUUUGGCCAAGUCCGUUACAGUGGUGCUUGUUUCCUGCCAUGGAUGAUGAGGAAGGGGAAGGAGAAGAAGGUGAUGGUGACAGUGAAGAGGAAGAAGGAUUGGAAGAUAUUGAUGAAGGAGAUUAGGAUGAAAGUGAAAAAGAUGAGGCGGAGGAAGAUGAAGGAGACGAGGACUAAUGGAACAUGGAUGGAUUCCAACCUUCCUUUUUAAAUCUUCUCCAGUCCCUGGGAGCAAGUUGAAGUCUUUUUUUUCUCCUCCUGUGCUCACUCACUCUGUUUUUAAGGUCUCUUUUCUCUUUUAUACCAAGGUUCACAACUUAUUUGGGAAUAUCUUGAGCAGAAUUCAAGGGGAAAGGAAUUUCUACCCCUUUCUAUUCCAAAUUCAUUUUUAUCCCUUACUGUCACAACAAAGGCUAUAGAAUCAACACCACCAUGCUCUGUGGGAAAAAAGAAAAACCUUCUGCUCUCCUGGCUCUGCUGGAAGCUGGAGGGUCCUAGGCCUCUGUGUGAUAGUGCAUAGAAUAGUGCCUUUCCCCCUCCUUUCUCUGUAUAUUGUGUUCAGAGACUACAUUGUGUCUCUACGUGAAUAUGGACAGUUAGCAUUUACCAAUAUAUGUCUGUCUACUUUCUCUUUUUAAAAAAGAAAAAAGACUUUUUAAAAAUGGGGUUAUAGAAGGUCAGCAAAAGGUGGGUUUGAGAUGUUUGGGUGGGUUAAGUGAGUAUUUUGACAACAUGGCUACUCCUUUGGCAUGUUAAAUUGUGAUGUUUAAUGGAUGUACUUUCAGUUUAAGAUGACACUUUUGAAACAAAAAAGUGAAAGUGAAAGUCACUCAGUUGUGUCGGACUCUUUGCGACUAUACAGUCCAAGGAAUUCUCCAGGCCAGAAUACUGGAGUGGGUAACCUUUCCCUUCUCCAGGGGAUCUUCCCAGCUCAAGGAUCAAACCCAGGUCUCCUGCAUUGCAGGUAGAUUCUUUACCAGCUGAGCUACCAGGGAAACUCCCCUUUUAAAACAAAAUUCUCUCCUAAUAACUUGAGCCCUGCCUCUAGAUGGGAGAAUCAACAGGACCUAUAGGAAGUUACCUGCAAUUGACAUUCCCUAUUGUAAUUUUGUUCCUGUAUAUUUUUAAAUGUUUCUUUUUGCUUCACUGAAAAGUAAAAAUGAUGCUCAGUUUUUAAUGUUAAAAGUGUACAAGUUGCUUUGUUACAAUAAAACUAAAUGUGUU
rnacentral:lncRNA from 1 species